rnacentral:lncRNA from 1 species
GGCGGCGUCAUGGCUCACCACGGGUUCAGGCGUUAGCUGCUAUUGACUGUGAACCCGUGGAUUUAGGAGGAAUCCCGGAGUUGGAACUGCCCUGCUGGCAUGGAUUCUAAGAAUCCUGGCACUGCCUGGCCUCCCUGGAGGUGUGUGAGGGCGCGUCUGUGCGCAUGAGGGACAGGGCAGGGAUUGCAGUGACUGGGGGAUGACGGGACCCCCUGCCACGCUCUGCCACAGUCUUCACGGCUAUGGGAAGAGCUGCGCUCACUUAUACUCUCACGUUAACGCAGCUCACAGGCAGAUCCUCUC